rnacentral:lncRNA from 1 species
UCCAAAUUACCUCUUUACACCAUUUUCUGCAAAAUAAGAUUAAAACCACAAAAUUAGGCAGAAAAAGUGUAAAUUAACAUUAAUAACAUCAUGAUAAAAUGGUCUAAAUUUGGACUGAUCAGUAUACUACACGUUGAAAACACAUUGUUAAGAAAGAAAGGAGAGAUAACUAGGAUGGGCAUCAAAGGAAUGUACUGAGUACUGGUGAAAGUAGUUUGGAGUUUCCUGGACAUAAGUUGAUAGUGCAGAGGGUUGAUGGCUGCAACAAAUUGUGCACGAGAAAUGGGAAAAGGUGGUCCAGAUUGAAACUAACCAGUGGUCUGUCAGAAAGCAAGCCGAAGAAGCUUUAAUGUAGUAGGAGAUCAAUUUUAUAUGCUACAAGGAAAACCAUAUUUAAGGAUUUACUUAUCCACAAUUGCUACAUCCACAAUAAGAAGCUACAAUUUUGCUGUGGAAAUUUUGACCAGACCAUAACAGAGUUGCUCUAUUACUAAAUGAUGGACUCUUAAAAGUUUACCUGUCAAAAUUUGCCUUUUAUUCAACUGUUUUCUCCAGGUAUGCACACAAUGCACGAGCAGAAUUUGUUCUUAAAGUUCAUUCGAUAAGAAGAAUUACUAUUUGCCACAACCCCAAAUUGUCUUUUGUUUUUUUUUUUAACCGCACAGUACUCAGCUGUGCAGUAUAUGCAUGGUUCACUUAUACAACACUAAAUUCUGAUGUGGAUUUUUCUGCCAAGUUACGGUGCAAAAUUUAUCUACUAUCAUCCAUGAUUUUCAAAUUAUAUUUGCUCAGUUAAUAGGCUAGAAUUAACCGUUUUCUUUGCUGUUAUGGUGGGUAUAUCCCUCUACUUUUACAGAUAUUGAAUCAGACACGAACUUGUAGUUAGUCCAGACUCAUUGGUAGUUGGUACUUCUAGAUAAUGCAAGUGAACUGGUUUCAAGACCCCUUCCCAUUCACAUGCAUUGCUUUUCCUCAUAGGGGGGAAAAACUCAUUUAGUGAUUCAGAACACCAGAAUGCUUACGAAAUUAAUGUAGAAGCCUUGUAAAACACAGCAAACCUGAGAUCUGCAGAACCAAACUGAGCUGCUGAUCCCAUAUUCACCAUGAAGCUCAGCUGCAUACUGGUUAAGAUCAGCAAGUAAACCAGAGCUAAAAGUAACUUACAGCUGCGAAUGCAGUUGAUUCGAGUUGGAUACAGAACUACUGACCUUGUACCCAGUUGUGGAGCAAUCUUCCUUUUCAAGGACAAUUCAGUCAGCUUUAGGAAAUAUUAAUAUCACCAACUCUCUAGUAAGAUCAGUAUAUGUACUUGCCAAGAAAUUGGCCUUCUCCUUGCGUAUUUAAUUGAGCUCUGUGGAAAGGCAUAGAGUGUGGAUUUUGAUGGUAUGGAGAUUUUGAGGACGAAGUGGACAGGUGUUGAGGAAUUUAAUGGACAAUGGAGAGAUACAAGUGAAUGCCAUCGCCAAAAUUUAUUGUCAUGCAGGAGAAGCAUAUGCAGAAAGAGGGGAAACGAAGCGUAACCUUGUCGUUCAUCACUCCAUCAUCAUUCACUUGUUUUUGCAUCGGCUAGGAUAGACGCAUGUUUAACACUGGCACUGAUUGACUUCUUGACGGGCCUUGCCCGCGACCAUUGGGCUCUG